UGGCAACAAAGAAAGUUUCUCAUGUAUGUCUACGUCGAAGACCUCUUCUUAGUUAUACUCGGUCAGACUUUAUAAUUUUCCUACGCUGCUUCUCUCUAAACAUCACGUAUAAAAUAUGAAUUGAUAUAAAUACACAUAUGCAUGCGUAGAAACUUUGUAACCUACUCCAACAACACAAAUUAAGAUCGAAAUAAAAUGAAGGGAAGCUUGUGGUUGAUUGCUUUGUUUUUGGUUCUCUCUUUCGCGAUUUCAUCUUGUGCAUCUUCAACUUGGCCAUACCAAAUCCGCAAACUUUUGGAAAUAAGAACACCGCCAAGUGGUUCAAGACCAGCACCCCAAUUUCAUUAGCUAGCGGCAAAGAGGAGCUUUAGAGUUUCCGUCGUCUAUGUAUAUGGGUCGUGGUGGUUGAAUGCACCGAUUUGUACAUGAUGUUAAUUAUUUUAUAGUUUAUGGAAGAAACAUAAACCAGGGAAUAAUGAACAAAAAAAUGUAUUUUAAUUAAUAGAUUCCUACAUAAAUGAGCCACGAAUAAAACUAUUAGAAGUUAUAGAUUUUUACGUUACAAAGAUAAUUAGAUUCAUAUAUGCAUGGGAUCAUGAUUUUUGAAAUAAUUUCAGUUAUGGGAAAGAAAGAUGCACG
rnacentral:sRNA from 1 species